GACGAACGCUGGCGGCGUAGCCUAACACAUGCAAGUCGAACGGGGUAGAAGCUCGGUUUUUACUUAGUGGCGAACGGGUGAGUAACGCGUGAGAAACCUGCCUCUCAGUGGGGGACAACAGUUGGAAACGACUGCUAAUACCGCAUAACACUUUAGAAUCGCAUGAUUCAGAAGUCAAAGCUUAAUGUGCUGAGAGAUGGGCUCGCGUCUGAUUAGGUAGUUGGUGAGGUAACGGCCCACCAAGCCGACGAUCAGUAGCCGGACUGAGAGGUUGAACGGCCACAUUGGAACUGAGAUACGGUCCAGACUCCUACGGGAGGCAGCAGUGGGGAAUAUUGGGCAAUGGGCGAAAGCCUGACCCAGCGACGCCGCGUGAGGGAAGAAGGUCUUCGGAUUGUAAACCUCUGUUGACAGGGACGAAGCAUGACGGUACCUGUCGAGGAAGCCACGGCUAACUACGUG
rnacentral:rRNA from 1 species